CAGUAGCCGCGGUAAUACGUAGGUGGCAAGCGUUGUCCGGAGUUAUUGGGCGUAAAGGGCUCGCAGGCGGUUUCUUAAGUCUGAUGUGAAAGCCCCCGGCUCAACCGGGGAGGGUCAUUGGAAACUGGGAAACUUGAGUGCAGAAGAGGAGAGUGGAAUUCCACGUGUAGCGGUGAAAUGCGUAGAGAUGUGGAGGAACACCAGUGGCGAAGGCGACUCUCUGGUCUGUAACUGACGCUGAGGAGCGAAAGCGUGGGGAGCGAACAGGAUUAGAUACCCCCGUAGUCCCUGUCUCUUAUAU
rnacentral:rRNA from 1 species